GGUUCGUCCGCUGAGGGUUAGUCGGGACCUAAGCCGAGGCCGAAAGGCGUAGGUGAUGGACAACUGGUUGAUAUUCCAGUACCACUACCAUCGUUAUUAUCGAUGGCGUGACGCAGGAGGAUAGUGUGUGCUAGCUAUUGGAUGCUAGUCUAAGCGUUUAGGCAGUGAGAGUAGGCAAAUCCGCUCUCAUAAUGCUGAGGCGUGAUGGGGAAGGUUCCACGGAACCGAAGUACAUGAUUCCACGCUGCCAAGAAAAGCGUCUAGAGAGAGAAGUAGUGCCCGUACCGCAAACCGACACAGGUAGGUGAGGAGAGAAUCCUAAGGCCGGCGGAAGAAUUACAGUUAAGGAACUCGGCAAAUUGACCCCGUAAGUUCGCGAGAAGGGGUGCCUACGAGAGUAGGCCGCAGAGAAUAGGCCCAAGCAACUGUUUAGCAAAAACACAGGUCUCUGCUAAAGCGUAAGCUGAUGUAUAGGGGCUGACGCCUGCCCGGUGCUGGAAGGUUAAGGGGAACACUUAGCGCAAGCGAAGGUGUGAACUUAAGCCCCAGUAAACGGCGGCCGUAACUAUAACGGUCCUAAGGUAGCGAAAUUCCUUGUCAGGUAAGUUCUGACCCGCACGAAUGGCGUAAUGACUUGGGCACUGUCUCAACUGUAAAUCCGGCGAAGUUGUAGUGCGAGUGAAGAUGCUCGCUACCCGCGAUUGGACGGAAAGACCCCGUAGAGCUUUACUGUAGCUUAGCAUUGAGUUUUGGUAUUGUCUGUACAGGAUAGGUGGGAGACUAGGAAACCAGGGCGUCAGCCUUGGUGGAGUCAACCUUGGGAUACCACCCUGACAGUACUGAAAUUCUAACUGGCGGCCAUGAAUCUGGUCACAGGACAUUGUUAGGUGGGCAGUUUGACUGGGGCGGUCGCCUCCUAAAAAGUAACGGAGGCGCCCAAAGGUUCCCUCAGAACGGUCGGAAAUCGUUCGAAGAGUGCAAAGGCAGAAGGGAGCCUGACUGCGACACCCACAAGUGGAGCAGGGACGAAAGUCGGGCUUAGUGAUCCGGUGGUACCUCGUGGGAGGGCCAUCGCUCAACGGAUAAAAGCUACCUCGGGGAUAACAGGCUGAUCUCCCCCAAGAGUCCACAUCGACGGGGAGGUUUGGCACCUCGAUGUCGGCUCGUCGCAUCCUGGGGCUGAAGUAGGUCCCAAGGGUUGGGCUGUUCGCCCAUUAAAGCGGCACGCGAGCUGGGUUCAGAACGUCGUGAGACAGUUCGGUCCCUAUCCGUCGCGGGCGUAGGAAAUUUGAGAGGAGCUGUCCUUAGUACGAGAGGACCGGGAUGGACUGACCUCUGGUGUACCAGUUGUUCCGCCAGGAGCACAGCUGGGUAGCUAAGUCGGGAAUGGAUAAACGCUGAAAGCAUCUAAGCGUGAAGCCAACCUCAAGAUGAGAUUUCCCAUAGCGUAAGCUAGUAAGAUCCCUUGAAGAACACAAGGUUGAUAGGUCGGGGGUGUAAGCAUGGUAACAUGUUCAGCUGACCGAUACU
rnacentral:rRNA from 1 species